GAUGAACGCUGGCGGCGUGCCUAAUACAUGCAAGUCGAGCGAACAGACGAGGAGCUUGCUCCUCUGACGUUAGCGGCGGACGGGUGAGUAACACGUGGAUAACCUACCUAUAAGACUGGGAUAACUUCGGGAAACCGGAGCUAAUACCGGAUAAUAUAUUGAACCGCAUGGUUCAAUAGUGAAAGACGGUUUUGCUGUCACUUAUAGAUGGAUCCGCGCCGCAUUAGCUAGUUGGUAAGGUAACGGCUUACCAAGGCGACGAUGCGUAGCCGACCUGAGAGGGUGAUCGGCCACACUGACACUGGGACACGGUCCAGACUCCUACGGGAGGCAGCAGUAGGGAAUCUUCCGCAAUGGGCGAAAGCCUGACGGAGCAACGCCGCGUGAGUGAUGAAGGUCUUCGGAUCGUAAAACUCUGUUAUUAGGGAAGAACAAAUGUGUAAGUAACUAUGCACGUCUUGACGGUACCUAAUCAGAAAGCCACGGCUAACUACGUG
rnacentral:rRNA from 1 species